rnacentral:rRNA from 1 species
UAAGGGAUAUUGCACAAUGGACGCAAGUCUGAUGCAGCAACGCCGCGUGCCCGAUGAAGGCCUUCGGGUCGUCAAGGGCUUUUCUGGCUGAAGACAAGGACUGUAAGCCCGGAAUAAGUGUCGGCUAACUACGUGCCAGCAGCCGCGGUAAAACGUAGGACGCGAGCGUUAUCCGGAGUUACUGGGCGUAAAGCGCGGGCAGGCGGUCUGACAAGUCUGAUGUGAAAUCUCCGGGCUCAACCGGGAGAGGCCAUUGGAAACUGACAGGCUGGAGGGCAGUAGAGGUAGGCGGAAUUCCGGGUGGAGUGGUGAAAUGCGUAGAGAUCCGGAGGAACACCAGAGGCGAAGGCGGCCUACUGGGCUGCACCUGACGCUGAGCCGCGAAAGCCAGGGGAGCGAA